AAUUGAACAGUCGCGUGUAGAUGUCGCAAGGCCCUACAUGAGGAAAGUCCGGGCUCCAUAGAGCAAUAAUGCUGGAUAACGUCCAGUGAGGGUGACCUUAAGGAAAGUGCAACAGAAAAUAACCGCCAUGCAUAGUGAUCCUGCAAAGCUAAUUUUUCAGGAAAUGUGGUAAGGGUGAAAAGGUGAGGUAAGAGCUUACCGCAAAUAUGGUGACAUAUUUGGUCAAUGCAAACCCCAUUUGGAGCAACACCUAAAUAUAAGAAGGUUAAGACUGCUCGUCAGCUUCUUAAACUGGUGGCUUGAAAUAUAUAGUAAUAUAUAUUCUAGAUAAAUGACUGUUUUUAACAGAACCCGGCUUAUAGAUUUACUCU
rnacentral:RNase_P_RNA from 1 species